GAUGAAGAACGUAGCGAAAUGCGAUACUUGGUGUGAAUUGCAGAAUCCCGUGAACCAUCGAGUCUUUGAACGCAAGUUGCGCCCGAAGCCUCGGCUAAGGGCACGUCCGCCUGGGCGUCACGCAUCGCGUCUCCCCCAAACCGCCAAGGCGGAGGGGAAGGAAGAUGGCUUCCCGUGCCUCACCCGGGCGCGGUUGGCCUAAAUUUGGAGCCCGCGGCACUUAGCUCUCGCGGCGAUAGGUGGUGAACAAGGCCUUGGCCGUGCAAACAACCCGCUGCGAAGCUCUAUGUCACGUGCGCUCGUCGGACCCUUUGAAGUUGCCUUUGGUGACUUAAAACCUUUGCGACCCCAGGUCAGGCGGGGCUACCCGCUGAAUUUAAGCAUAUCAAUAAGCGGAGGA
rnacentral:misc_RNA from 1 species